CAAGUCAGUUCUCCUCUGCACCCUGUUGUGAGCUGAGAGAGAUUUGCUAAAGAACGAGACCAUGGGGCAGCUGGGCCUAACCUGCCGAUUUUGCACCAUCUUCAGCCAGCAGCUUGCACCCAGUUAUUCCUGGAUCUAUCCUACCCAUGUGUGCUGUGAAUACCUGCCUAUCUUUGCUGUGUGUUUUGAGAUCACCAGGUGAACUGUGCUGUUCAGUCUCUUUGCAGUGAAACACCAACUGCGCAUCUACAUAUGGGUGAACCAACAGCUCUCUGACUCAUGGCUGAUGGGCGCCAAGGAGCCCAUAUUCCCUUUCAUCGUGGGCAGGCAGCCCUGGGUGGCAUAAAGUACACACUGAAAUGUGCUGUCCGGGGAUAUGAGAAGCAACUGUUCCUUCCAGAUGUUCAGUCAUCUCAUUGCUUGUUAGAUUUGAGGACAGGAACCCCCUUCAGUUAUGUGAGGCACUCACUGUUCUCAGACGUCCGGGAGAGUGUGUGGGGUGGGGGGAGAAUUGGUUUCGUGUGACGCCAGCAAGGAAUAGAGGCAGAGGUUUUGUGCUUUUUGGAAAACACUUGAAAGGCCUUUGAGCUCUGGCUAAUCUCCAUUGUUCAUGUGUUUUCCGGCAGCAGAACGAGAGAGGAAGAACAGAAAGAGGCAGGAGAGCAGAGCUGAGAAUUAGAAGUGGAAGCCUUUCCCGUGCUCAGGCGAGCUUGGCAGAAUCCGUCGUGGCAAAUGGAGCUGGAUGCAACAGAAUCCAGGCUUAAGCUUGGCUCAGAUCUUAGACCCAGCAGAGCCUCCUUAGAUCUGCAGGAGCUUUGUUGGCUGAAAUUCUUCUGUAUCAGAUCCAGGAGAUCAAAAUGCAGGAGAACCAAGGUGGAAAGUGAGUAGCUAUUUAAGAACUUGAAGAACUGAAGCUUUUUCUGGAGCAGCUCUCUGCUUUGUAUCCAGCUGAACACACUGGGAGGACAACACGAUCAAAAGGUGCCCUGAGUGCUGUAAGAUGCAGCUGACAUAAAGGCAGCAAAAGGCAAGAGCCUUUUGAAGCCAAAUGCUCGGAAGUGACUGCCUGGCAUCUGUCCUUAUUGGUUUUGAAAUGGGGAAGAUUGUGACCCAGAAGGAUGAAAUUUGGCAGCUUCCGCUGUGUGUGCUGAGAGAAGCAGAAGAAGCCUGAGUGAGAGGUGAACAGAUUAACAAGGAGCCUGUUUGGAGUUUUUUUCAAGCUGGGUUUGCUUUACAGAAUGAAGUCUGAAAAAGGGCUCGUUUGAGUCCCACGCAGCAAGGGGAUGGCAGGGACUGCAGCAAGCCGUGCUGGAGAAAUUCUUGGAGCAGGAGGAAGGUGAAGAGUCCCAAAGGAACCGUGAGGUAACUUGCUGCUUGUGGUUUGUUGAGCUCUUGGUAGCCUGCUCCAGGAUAUUGAAGAACCAGCCUUUGGGAGACAGAGACGGUGUCCCUGGAGAGCCUGACUUUACUUUGAACUGGCCAGUUUCCUUCUGGGCGCCUCUGCACAGUAUUUUGCAGGUAGGUGCGUGUUCAUUUUGUCUGCAUUCGGAGGCAUUUGGAUGUGAACCAGGUCUGAAGUGGCACCCUGUAGCGGUGGUGAACUCAGUGCAGAGGUGGGAUCCUUUAGCGCUGACUUAACGCUGAGUUAAUGCAGCCACAGGACUUGCAGUUGGCUCAGGCCUGGGCACGUGUACAGACGUGACACAGGCCGUAUCCUGAGCUUCUUGGAGUUUUGUGGCAGUCCAGCUCCAAAUCCAAACUUAGGAACACUGAUGCCAACCUUUUGGGCCAGGACAUGUGCUCAGCUUUCCUUCUGCCUACCCGUGAACCCUUAGUGCUCGGCGAGGGAGGGAUGAGCAGCCCUGGCAGCCCUCGCUAUGUGAGCUGUGUUUGCUUUGGGUGAAAUGCGGUAAUUAGAGAGAGACUGAUGCUUGAAGCUCCUGGGAGCUAUUCCCCAAGUAAGGAAGUAUCAUCUCUGUGAAACACGCUUGCUGGGGUGAAACCUGCAUGUCUGUAUGAAGUCAUCUGCUGUAAUGGUAACAACUCGUGUCUUUUCUCACCACAGAGGUGGUUCUGAAGUAUUGUCCUGUCUUGGAGAAGGAAACAGAGGAAUAAAUAUUCCGAGUGGCUCAAUCUAUAGGAACAAGCGCGCAGAGGAGGGGAUGAGUUAAUCUCCUCCGUGCUCUUGGCCAUGGUGGGGCUGUUCCUAUAUUCCCAUGUGCUGUUGUGGGGCGAUAAGCUGGUUGCAGGGAGAACACUCUGUCCCUUCCCUGGAAGAAGAGAUUCAGCUGAACGUCCCUCCUGGGAGCGGUCCCGGGUAGGCAGCUGAAAUUUUCCUGUUCCUCUCGUCCCAUGACUUCUAGGAAAUAUCCACAGUCCUUUGCGUUGUCCAGAAUAAUUCCACUGUCCAGAGGAUGAGUGUUUUGGUAUCUGCAGGCUGGUCGUUUCCUUUUUAGCACUUUUUAGCUGUUCUCUCCCAAAUUGGUGCCUCCAUCCAGCCCUUAAUUUCUCUUGUUCUUUGAAUGGCAGCUUGCCUGCAGGAAUGCAUCUGACAUGAAACAUAGGACCUCUCUGCUCCUUCCCUGCCUCUGCGCCAGCCUGUGACCAUGGCUGUAGUUGUUCUGUGGAACAUGUGGCCCCUAUAAAACAUCUUGUAACAGAACAAAUGUGAAGUGGAUCCCCAUGACAUUGCUUUUAAAGGUGUCUUGAUUUGGUGUCUAAACCAGCUUGUAUCUGCUAUAGUAUUGGGGGAGACAGCGCAGGUCUCUGAUGGGUGAACUGUGUGUUAUCUUGUCCUUGCUGGGAUUUGCUGGAAACUAAUGAUCUGUCUGGUCCGGCAUCUUCCAUUCCAGGUAUCAGCAGCCGUCAUCUCCGAAAGCAAGCACAAGAAGUUGAUAUUAAUCAAGGAAUGAGCUUUUCCUGGUGUUUUCUUCCUUGAUCCAGCUCAUGGCAGGAACGUCUGAUAACGCGGGGCUGAGAUCACCCUCCUGGCCCCGGUCAUCUGGCAGCUCGGUGCUUACUGCGUCUCCAGGACAACCCUCUGUGCCGAUCUCCUCGGGAAGCUCCGCGUGUUCCUCCAGACCCUUGUCAUCCUCUUACUAGGAUUUGCACUUGUGUUUGGAAAAGCACCUCCUGUGCUCUUGCUCAGCCCAGAUGUCCAGCGCUGCAUGGGGGGGCAACAGAGGAGAUCAGCUGCACAGAGUCUCCCGUGAGCCCUCGCAGCCCAGUUUGUGAUGCACCUGGAACCGCACACCGACCAUCGCUGCUUCCCGAGCUCAGUGACAAGAUAAUGGAGCAAAUAAAGCGCAAAGCAACUGAAACCCUUGUGUCCGCAGCAGAAAGAAGCGGCAGGAGCUGUGCAGCCCCGUGCUCCACAAAACCAGAAAGCAGAACAAGCUCCUCAGUUUGCUGCCAACAUGGGGUAAGUCUGAUUCCUGCAGGUUUCGAGGUGGAAGCAGCAUCAAGAACCACUUGGUGUGAUGCUCCUGCAUCCCCCCGGACUCUGAAAACACCAGAGCAUGUAUGUAUAUAUUUUAUAUAUAUAUAUAAUAUAUAUAUAAAAAAAUCUCUAUCAUCUCUAUCUCUAUCUCCUCUCUAUCUCUAUCAUCUCUAUCUCUAUCUCUAUCUCCUCUCUAUCUCUAUCUCCUCUCUAUCUCUAUCUCCUCUCUAUCUCUAUCUCCUCUCUAUCUCUAUCUCCUCUCUAUCUCUAUCUCCUCUCUAUCUCUAUCAUCUCAUCUAUCAUCAUCUCAUCUCUAUCUCUAUCAUCUCAUCUAUCAUCAUCUCAUCUCUAUCUCUAUCAUCUAUCAUCAUCUCAUCUCUAUCUCUAUCAUCUAUCAUCAUCUCAUCUCUAUCUCUAUCAUCUAUCAUCAUCUCAUCUCUAUCUCUAUCAUCAUCUCAUCUCUAUC